rnacentral:rRNA from 1 species
CCUGGCUUAGAACGAACGCUGGCGGCAGGUCUUAGGCAUGCAAGUCGAACGGAUGACAAGAGAGCUUGCUCUCUGAAGUCAGUGGCGCACGAGUGAGUAACGCGUGGGAAACUGCCCUUCACUGGGGAAUAACGUUUGGAAACGAACGCUAAUACCGCAUACGCCCGCAAGGGGAAAGAUUUAUCGGUGAUGGAUGUGCCCGCGUUGGAUUAGCCAGUUGGUGGGGUAAUGGCCUACCAAAGCAAUGAUCCAUAGCUGGUCUGAGAGGACGAUCAGCCACGCUGGAACUGAGACACGGUCCAGACUCCUACGGGAGGCAGCAGCUAAGAAUAUUGGGCAAUGGAAGGAAACUCUGACCCAGCCAAUGCCGCGUGAAUGAAGAAGGCCGUUCGGGUUGUAAAGUUCUUUUAGUCAUGAAGAUGAUGACAGUAGUGACAGAAAAAGCACCGGCUAACUUCGUGCCAGCAGCUGC